rnacentral:rRNA from 1 species
AGUGAACGCUAGCGGUGCGCCUAACACAUGCAAGUCGAGCGAGAAGUUUAGUGCUUGCACUAAAUGGAUAGCGGCGAACGGGUGAGUAACACGUUGGUAUCUGCCCCCAAGUCAGGGAUAGCCAUUGGAAACGAUGAUUAAUACCGGAUAGUCUCUUCGGAGUAAAAAUUUAUUGCUUGGGGAGGAACCUGCGGUCUAUCAGCUAGUUGGUGAGAUAAAAGCUCACCAAGGCUAUGACGGAUAUCUGGUCUGAGAGGAUGAUCAGACACAAUGGAACUGAGACACGGUCCAUACUCCUACGGGAGGCAGCAGUGAGGAAUCUUCCACAAUGGACGAAAGUCUGAUGGAGCGACACCGCGUGAAGGAUGAAGGUCUAACGAUUGUAAACUUCUUUUCUGAGGGAGCAUAAUGAGAGUACCUCAGGAAUAAGGGACGGCUAAAUAUGUGCCAGCAGCCGCGGUAAUACAUAUGUCCCAAGCGUUACUCGGAAUUACUGGGUGUAAAGCGUUCGUAGGCGGGGAAGUAAGUUGAACAUGAAAGACCGGGGCUCAACCCCGAGUUUGUAUUCAAAACUGCUUUCCUAGAAUUAGGGAGAGGUUAGCGGAAUUCUAAGUGUAGGGGUGCAAUCCGUAGAUACUUAGAGGAACACCAAAAGCGAAGGCAGCUAACUGGAACUAUAUUGACGCUGAGGAACGAAAGCGUGGGUAGCGAAAAGGAUUAGAUACCCUUGUAGUCCACGCCCUAAACGAUGAUAACUAAGUGUUGCCCCUAGAGGGCAGUGCUGAAGCUAACGCGUUAAGUUAUCCACCUGAGGAGUACGGUCGCAAGAUUAAAACUCAAAGGAAUAGACGGGGACCCACACAAGCAGUGGAUCACGUGGUUUAAUUCGACAAUAAACGGGGAACCUUACCCAGACUUGACAUCCUAGGAAUUCUUUAGAGAUAGAGAAGUGCUUUUAUUAGAGCCUAGAGACAGGUGCUGCAUGGUUGUCGUCAGCUCGUGCCUUGAGGUGUUCGGUUAAGUCCGUUAACGAGCGCAACCCAUGUCAUUAGUUAUUAUGUCUAAUGAGACUGCCUUGGUUAACAAGGAGGAAGGUGUGGAUGACGUCAAAUCAGCAUGGCUUUUACGUCUGGGGCUACACACAUGAUACAAUGGUCUAUACAAAGAGAAGCAAUCUAGCGAUAGUGAGCCAAUCUUAAAAGCAUAUCUCAGUCCGGAUUGAAGUCUGAAACUCGACUUCAUGAAGUUGGAAUUGCUAGUAAUCGUGAAUCAGAUAUGUCACGGUGAAUGUGUUCCUGGGUCUUGUACUCACCGCCCGUCAUGGCAUGGAAGGAAGUAAUAUCGGAAGUCCCCCUAGUAAUAUGGGGGCCCAUGGUAGGACUUCUGACUGGGCUA